UGAUGACUGGAUCAUACUUUCUUCUUCAAAAACUCAGUUUCUAGGUAGAAGAUGCUAUGAGAGAAAGAAAUCAGUGGGAAUUGGGAGAUUUUUGUUGCCAAAAUUUAAGUUUGAUCCUGUUAUAGUACAAUACAAUCAGAGGAAGAGUUUGACAAGGCUAUUUUGGAUGGGAUUUUUUUAUUGGGAAGCCUCUGUUUCAUCGAAAGAGGAAACAGAAAGUCAGAAACCAAAGGUAAAAUAAAAUGGCAAAACAAGGAAGGUAACAUGGUCA
rnacentral:misc_RNA from 1 species